AUUGAACGCUGGCGGCAUGCCUUACACAUGCAAGUCGAACGGCAGCACAGGUGCUUGCACCUGGUGGCGAGUGGCGAACGGGUGAGUAAUACAUCGGAACAUGUCCUGUAGUGGGGGAUAGCCCGGCGAAAGCCGGAUUAAUACCGCAUACGAUCUACGGAUGAAAGCGGGGGCCCUUCGGGCCUCGCGCUAUAGGGUUGGCCGAUGGCUGAUUAGCUAGUUGGUGGGGUAAAGGCCUACCAAGGCGACGAUCAGCAGCUGGUCUGAGAGGACGACCAGCCACACUGGGACUGAGACACGGCCCAGACUCCUACGGGAGGCAGCAGUGGGGAAUUUUGGACAAUGGGCGAAAGCCUGAUCCAGCAAUGCCGCGUGUGUGAAGAAGGCCUUCGGGUUGUAAAGCACUUUUGUCCGGAAAGAAAUCCUUGGCCCUAAUACGGUCGGGGGAUGACGGUACCGGAAGAAUAAGCACCGGCUAACUACGUG
rnacentral:rRNA from 1 species